GAACAUGCCAGUUGUGCCACCUGUGCAUAGCUGUACUGAAUCGGAACAGCAAUGGCACAAGCCGCGAACAAUGGGUGUGAAGCCAGGGCCCAUCAACUCCAUGGUCUUCACCAAGCCUGUACCAAAUAGGAUGGUGCAGACUGGAGAGUGGAUUCUACAGAGGCAUGGUGGGGCCAUUACCAGAUCCCUGCCUGUUCAGAGUUACGGAGGCAUACUCAGCAUUCAGCAUUGAAGACAGGCCGCUUGUGACCACAAUGAACAUGAGACCUGACAAGCCCCUUGUGGAAUGUGCCUUCGGGAUUGUGCAGGAGGGCAGUGUUCUGUCCUAUCAGAGGCCUGCUUUGACGUCUCGGUACACCACACUUCACACUGACACACCACCAACACCCCACUUGCCCAUAGAGGGGUAUGUGAUCUUGCCAUGUGAUUUACCGCUGGUGUGCUCAGAAGAGGAGCAACUACAUAUGAACAGCUUAUCUGUUGAUUUGGAAAUGUCUCACAAAAUUGAGGAGGCUACCCGUGAGCAAAGCUCUAGCUCAGAGUGGCAUCUGCUCCGCAAACCCAGGGUUACUGCCUCUAGGUUAAGAGAGAUUUGUCACGUCAGAGGUGAGAG